AGAAAUAUCAUUAAUUUGGUUUUUCAGGGGACGAAGUUAGUAUUUGGAAAUUAAUCAUUUCAGCAUUUCAAGGAGGCGUACUUUCGGACUCUUCUUCUGAAGAAAUUGUUGAUAAUUCUGUAACAAAUGAAUAUCAGGAAGAAAUAAUAAAUUCUGAACCAUUCUCAAUCCAGUGUUAUUUACAAUGCCACGUGCCAGAAGAUCUAAUACAUCUCAACGAAGCCGUAAUGCUACUAGGCUUCGCAAUAUUUCGAGUCAGUCAGAGAAAAGUCAAGUCAAAGUCAAGAAAGAGCACGGGAGCAGCGCCGUGUAAGUAAGUAACUUCGUGAGUCACAAACACCAGAGCAAAGAGAGGCAGUACGUCGAACUACUCAGAUGGAUAUGAGACAGCUUUGAGCUAAUCGUAAUCGUCCACGAACGAGAAGUAACCCAAAUAUAAAUUUGAAAGGAAUAGUUUUUCAAUAUGAGUUCAAUCGACUACAGCUCUCACCAUUCCGUUGUAAUUGGCCCGAUAGAAGUAGUAUGCUGCUAUUGCCAUGCAUUGAGGUUUGGUGUAGAAAUUCCGGGAUUGUGCAUUCUAAAUGGCAAGGUGAAAUUGCCAUUAUUGCCUCCUCCAUCUGAACCAUUGAAUUCUCUCCUCCGUGGAGAAACAUCCGAAUCAAGACAUUUCCUAUCGAACACACCAAAUGACUUCAUUUGGAGCAGAUAUAACGUGGAUUCAAUCCAACAUUCAAGAUCCAAGGCCAGAUUCACCAUCAAAUUGGAUCAUUACAACCACUUGAAGAUGCACAACAUGAAUUCCUCGAAAUUUACUUUAUAGGCAGUAUGGAUGAUCAACACCAAUCUAUUAAUGCAGAUGUGAAAAUAAUAAUUCUUCAAGAUCUGCAGCAACUUCUUCAUGAACAUCAUGCCUUGGUUCGAUUGUUUAAAACUGCUUUGGUACGUAAGCCAAGUGACGAUCACAAGGUUGUGAUUAGAACAGAUAAACGACCUGUUGGAGCACAUGAACGCCAAUUCAACGCCUCUAUAAUAGACGAAGUGGCAAUCAUGAUUGUAGGUGAAAACGCGUGAUAUUGUUCUUACGCGUCGGAAUACUGGAGAAUUGCAACAAAUAUAUGAAACACACCGUUCAUACGAUGCUCUGCAAUACCCGCUAAUGUUUUGGAGAGGUGAUGAUGGAUAUCAUUUCAACAUCAAGAUGAUGAAUCCAUUGAAUGGCCAGGAAACCACCAAGAAAGUUAGCUCGAUGAAUUAUUAUGCAUUUCGUUCAAUGGUUCGUCAAAAUUCAGAUAACUACUUUUUACUUUUUUUUUUACUUUAACAGUUCAUUAUUGGAACAAUCCAAAAGGCCAUCGACCGAAGUCCUUCAGCCAGUUUUGUAAACAAAAUAUGCAGUAUUUUGUGGACAUGUAUUGUAAAAUUGAAACGAAGUGCCUCACUUAUAUCAGAAUGAAUCAAUCUAAACUACAUUCAGAGGGAGUAUAUUCAUUUACGAGAUGCAAUAUCCACCGAAGGAGAUGCAGCUAAUGACAAUUUUACCAGCAACGUAUAUUGGCAGCCCGCGUCAUAUACAUGAAUAUGCACAAGAUGCACUGUCAUACGUUCGGAACUAUGGUCGUCCUGAUUUGUUCAAUUCAUUUACCUGCAAUGGGAAUAAAUCGCUCAACUGCUUCUUCACUGACAAACAUCUGUUGAUCGACAGAUCGACAUGAUAUCACUGCACGAGUGUUCAAACAAAAAGUGAAGUCGCUAAUGGAUUAUAUUACAAAACAUCAUGUCUUUGGGGAUAGUCGAUGCUGGAUGUACUCAAUUGAAUUGCAAAAACGAGGCCUGCCACAUGCACACAUUCUCAUCUGGUUAGUAGAAAAAAGAAUUCGACCAGAACAGAUAGAUGACGUUAUAUUAUGUGCCGAGAUUCCUGAUCAUGUGAAUGAUUCUGAACUGCAUCAUAUUGUAGUUACUAACAUGAUUCAUGGACCAUGUGGCAUGAUCAAUCCUCAAUGACCAUGCAUGGUUAAUGGAAAAUGUUCAAAGCGUUAUCCGAGAGAUUUCACUCCGGACUCUAUCACUGGUAACGAUGGUUAUCCACUGUAUCGCUGUCGAUCACCUGAAGAUAACGGCAGAACCACCAUGAUUAGAGUUAAUGGAAAUUAUAUUAUAGUCGAUAAUACUUCUUUCGAAAACAUUCAAGGCCCAUUGCAAUGUGGAGUACUGCACUUCAGUGAAGUCAAUCAAAUAUAUAUGUAAAUAUGUCACAAAAGGCACUGAUAUGGCGGUUUUUGGUGUACAAAAUCCCAAUACCAAUGCAUUCAUAGCUGUAUACCGUUACCGGGAAUAAAUCUACAAAAAGACAAAAAAAUAAA